AAUGAACGCUGGCGGCAGGCCUAACACAUGCAAGUCGAACGGAUCCUUCGGGAUUAGUGGCGGACGGGUGAGUAACGCGUGGGAACACACCCUUUGGUACGGAAUAGCCUCGGGAAACUGGGAGUAAUACCGUAUGUGGUCGAGAGACGAAAGAUUUAUCGCCAAAGGAUUGGCCCGCGUUGGAUUAGGUAGUUGGUGGGGUAAUGGCCUACCAAGCCGACGAUCCAUAGCUGGUUUGAGAGGAUGAUCAGCCGCACUGGGACUGAGACACGGCCCAGACUCCUACGGGAGGCAGCAGUGGGGAAUCUUAGACAAGGGGGGAAACCCUGAUCUAGCCAUGCCGCGUGAUCGAUGAAGGCCUUAGGGUUGUAAAGAUCUUUCAGGUGGGAAGAUAAUGACUGUACCACCAGAAGAAGCCCCGGCUAACUCCGUGCCAGCAGCCGCCGUAACAC
rnacentral:rRNA from 1 species